rnacentral:rRNA from 1 species
AAUUUUGGACAAUGGGGGCAACCCUGAUCCAGCCAUCCCGCGUGUGCGAUGAAGGCCUUCGGGUUGUAAAGCACUUUUGGCAGGGAAGAAAAGGCUCUGGCUAAUACCUGGAGCUGCUGACGGUACCUGCAGAAAAAGCACAGGCUAACUACGUGCCAGCAGCCGCGGUAAUACGUAGGUUGCAAGCGUUACUCUGAAUUACUGGGCGUAAAGCGUGCGCAGGCGGUUCGGGAAGAAGGAUGUGAAAUCCCAGGGCUUAACCUUGGAACUGCAUUCGUAACUGCCGGGCUAGAGUAUGUCAGAGGGGGGUAGAAUUCCGCGUGUAGCAGUGAAAUGCGUAGAGAUGCGGAGGAAUACCGAUGGCGAAGGCAACCCUCUGGGAUAAUACUGACGCUCAUGCACGAAAUCGUGGGGAGCAAAC